UACUCUUCUCCCAAAAGGCGUGCCUAACUUUAACAGGUUACCAUUUUUCUGAUCAUAGCCUUAAAAGGCUGUCCUGGGUUUUUCUUUUUUUUUUUUUUUUGAGAUGGAGUCUUGCUCUGUCACCUAGGCUGAAGUGUAGUGGUGCGAUCUCAGCUCACAGCAAGCUCCGCUUCCCAGGUUCACGCCAUUCUUCUGCCUCAGCCUCCCAAGUAGCUGGGUCUACAGGUGCCCGCCACCAUGCCCGGCUAAUUUUUUGUAUUUUUAGUAGAGACGGGGUUUCACCGUGUUAGCCAGGAUGGUCUGGAUCUCCUGACCUCGUGAUCCGCCCGCCUCGGCCUCCCAAAGUGCUGGGAUUACAGGUGUGAGCCACUGUGCCUGGCCUGUCCUGGUUUUUUCAUCUUGGCACUUAGGCCAUCAGCUUACUAGUGUGUAACCUCAGUUUCCUCCUGAUAGCACACACUUCGUAAGAUAGUCAUAAGGAUCAAAAGAAACAAUGCAUGUAAAGCAUUUCUCGUCAUGCCUGGCACACAGCAAACACCCAAUACAUUGAACUUUAAUUAUUACUCUUUUGGAUAUAGGUUGAACAAUAGGGUUGGUGCCCUAGGACAGAGGAGCUAUUAGCAUUGCUUUCUGAUCCUUUAGCCUCUCCAAGCUGAAACAUAUGGACCAUUUCUCAUCUGGCUAGUAAACACUUAUCUCUCCUGGGCUUAUAUCUUGUUUGGUAUAGAAAUGAGAUCCCGGCUUGAAGGUGAUAUUGAGAGGAGAACCAAGAGUAUAUUGUCUGUGGACUUCUGGCAGAUUGGAAAGAUGCCCUCAACAAAUUGGAUUGCAACCUAAUAUUUAAGGAAGAUGCCCUGAAGGAGUAGAUGCCUGGUGCAGAUACUGGGAAUGAAGUUGGUCUGCAGGUUCUGUGGUGUGUGGUGCUUGAACUCAUGGAGACUUUCCCCACCUUUCUGCAUAAAUAGUUCUAAAGAUCUAUAUUGCACAGACUAUGUUCUCUGACCACAGUGCAAUUUUGUUAGAAAUAAAUUACAAAAGAAUAAUUGUUGAGAGAGAAUGCUGCAUGGAUUUCUCAUGUUUAUGUAUGUCUUUCGAGCAGAGGCAUUGUUAGCUUUUGUUCUGGCCUGUAUUUUCAAGGAUGUUUAUACAGCCUUGGAAAAUAAAGAUAGUAUCUCCCUUCAUGGCAGAGGGCAGGUUUGUUUGCUGUCCAGUAAAAUGAAGAUAAUAUCUUCCACUGGGGCAGAAGUUGGGUGGAUUGGCUCACAGCCUCCUUAUUGGAGUUUCCUAAACUCGGUUCCUCAGCUGUGACUUAACCUCACCUCUGCCAUCCUCCUGGACCCAUGUAUGUAUCACUCUUGUGGGGCUUGUGAAGCAAGGGGAACUAAUGAGAAAAUGAAGUAAUUAAGUUCUUUGCCUCUGAUCCAGGAGUCUCAUGUCUUCUGCCAGCAUUUUUGAAACUGUGACUGGCUGGUUUGUUAACUUGCAAGUAAGAUAAAAUUUAAUACUCUUCACAGUUCUUAGUAAUAAGUUUUUUAAAAUCCCAUAAAUCUGGAUAUUAAAUAGCAUAAAACUAAAUAAUCAUUAGAUUAAAAAGAAACUCACAAAAAUAUUAAACAGAAUAAACUGAAAGCAUUUAAGCCAAAAUUUAUGAACAUAGCUAAAUAGAGGGAAAUUUAUAAAUCUAAAUAAAUUUAUCACGAAUGAAUAAAGAUUGGAAACUAAUGAGCCAAAUGUUUAAUUCAAGAAGAAGAAGAAAAAUUAGAACAAACUAAAGAUAUUAGAAAUAGGGAAAUAUUAAGGACAGGAACCAAAGUAAAGAACAUGAAAAACAGUAACACUGAAGCGGCGUCGUUUGGGGAAAUACCCGAGGUUCGUUGUCUCGCGCUAAGGAAAUCCAAGAUGCGGACACACAGGGUGUGAGUUUAAAAGCAAAAGUUUAAUAGGUGAAAGAAAGGAGAAAGAGCUUCCUUGUGCAGAGGAAGGGCCCCGAGCGGGUUUCUGGGAGAUGCGGUUGGUUUUAUAGACGAACUUGAGGAGGCAGUGUCUGAUUUACAUAGGGCGUAGUGGAUUGGUUGGACCAGGUGUGCCAUUUACAUGGCCUGUGAAGAGCUGGCCGACCCACCCUAAUUUUUUAUUACGCAAAUGACGUCUUUACCUGGCCAGCGCCAUGUUACCUGAACACGUGGUUACAAAGAAAAGGGAAGAGGAAACCUCCAUGUUGAAUACACUUGGCUUCCAGUUAUGAUGCAGCAAGAAGGCCCUCACCAGAUGUGGGUAGCAUCCUAUAGAACUUCCCAGCCUCCAGAACUCACCCUCUAGUCAAAGUUUAUUGUUAACAUAGCUCUUCCGUGAGAAGAGGGAGCCUGCUGGUAAGAUUACCUGAAAAGGACUGCUGUGUUGCAUCAGUGGAAGCACUUUUUGACUUUAUACAGGUGCUGUUUAUAAACCAGCCCAGCUUUGGCUCAGGACAAGCCACCCAUCUCCAGGGGCUGGCGUGUGUGCCUCUGCUGACCGCAGCUGCUGACCUGUCUCCUGUACACUCCAGCUGCUGUGAUGCCCAGAUAGCAAAACUUCUUUUCAGGCUCCCCAAGAAGGCAGGGACCCCAGUUCUCUCAAGAGCUAACAUUGGAGCAAGUCAGUCUCAAGAGGCAGUCCCAGAAUCAAGAGGAAAUAUGGGCUUGCCCCUUGAUCCUGCAGUAGAGCACAUCUUCCCUGCCUGCAUGGCCAUGCUGUGAAUCUGCAGCUCAGAAGUUAGUCUCCCUAGUGCCACACUCUGGAACCAUGUCAGCCACAUGAUUGUGGCUUCCUGAGGCCACGGCAUGUGCACUCUGCCUGUUGAUGUUGUGUUUUCCUGGUGACUCCUUCCUUUGCUAUUCAGUAAUAAGGCUGACCUGCCAUAGCAACGCCCACAGCCAAUGACACCUGCACAGUGCGUUCCUUCUCUGCUCCACAAUAUUUCCUUAAAGAAACACACACCUGGAAAUGGAAUUUCUGGAAUGAUUCCCAGAUGCUUUCCAGAGGAAGCCUGGCGACAUGGGCAAAUAGCCCUUUAUUUUCCACCAUGGGAACAAAUAUUUCUGAUCUUUCUUUAGUGUUAGGGCUGCAUACAAUAAAUACUCAGGUGACA